AUUGAACGCUGGCGGCAUGCCUUACACAUGCAAGUCGAACGGUAACAGGUCUUCGGAUGCUGACGAGUGGCGAACGGGUGAGUAAUACAUCGGAACGUGCCUAGUAGUGGGGGAUAACUACUCGAAAGAGUGGCUAAUACCGCAUGAGAUCUACGGAUGAAAGCAGGGGAUCGCAAGACCUUGUGCUACUAGAGCGGCCGAUGGCAGAUGAGGUAGUUGGUGGGAUAAAAGCUUACCAUGCCGACGAUCUGUAGCUGGUCUGAGAGGACGAUCAGCCACACUGGGACUGAGACACGGCCCAGACUCCUACGGGAGGCAGCAGUGGGGAAUUUUGGACAAUGGGCGCAAGCCUGAUCCAGCAAUGCCGCGUGCAGGAUGAAGGCCUUCGGGUUGUAAACUGCUUUUGUACGGAACGAAAAGCCCCGGGUUAAUACCCUGGGGUCAUGACGGUACCGUAAGAAUAAGCACCGGCUAACUACGUGCCAGCAGCCGCCGCGG
rnacentral:rRNA from 1 species